UACGUAGGGUGCAAGCGUUAAUCGGAAUUACUGGGCGUAAAGCGUGCGCAGGCGGCUUUGUAAGUCUGUCGUGAAAUCCCCGGGCUCAACCUGGGAAUUGCGAUGGAGACUGCAAGGCUAGAAUCUGGCAGAGGGGGGUAGAAUUCCACGUGUAGCAGUGAAAUGCGUAGAGAUGUGGAGGAACACCAGUGGCGAAGGCGGUCCUCUGGUCCACUAUUGACGCUAAAGCACGAAAGCGUGGGGAGCAAACAGG
rnacentral:rRNA from 1 species